GUGAACCAGUACCGUGAGGGAAAGGCGAAAAGAACCCCGGCGAGGGGAGUGAAAAAGAACCUGAAACCGUGUACGUACAAGCAGUGGGAGCACGCUUCGGCGUGUGACUGCGUACCUUUUGUAUAAUGGGUCAGCGACUUAUAUUCUGUAGCAAGGUUAACCGAAUAGGGGAGCCGAAGGGAAACCGAGUCUUAACUGGGCGUUAAGUUGCAGGGUAUAGACCCGAAACCCGGUGAUCUAGCCAUGGGCAGGUUGAAGGUUGGGUAACACUAACUGGAGGACCGAACCGACUAAUGUUGAAAAAUUAGCGGAUGACUUGUGGCUGGGGGUGAAAGGCCAAUCAAACCGGGAGAUAGCUGGUUCUCCCCGAAAGCUAUUUAGGUAGCGCCUCGUGAAUUCAUCUCCGGGGGUAGAGCACUGUUUCGGCAAGGGGGUCAUCCCGACUUACCAACCCGAUGCAAACUGCGAAUACCGGAGAAUGUUAUCACGGGAGACACACGGCGGGUGCUAACGUCCGUCGUGAAGAGGGAAACAACCCAGACCGCCAGCUAAGGUCCCAAAGUCAUGGUUAAGUGGGAAACGAUGUGGGAAGGCCCAGACAGCCAGGAUGUUGGCUUAGAAGCAGCCAUCAUUUAAAGAAAGCGUAAUAGCUCACUGGUCGAGUCGGCCUGCGCGGAAGAUGUAACGGGGCUAAACCAUGCACCGAAGCUGCGGCAGCGACACUAUGUGUUGUUGGGUAGGGGAGCG
rnacentral:rRNA from 1 species